rnacentral:rRNA from 1 species
AACGAACGCUGGCGGCAUGCCUAACACAUGCAAGUCGAACGAGAUCUUCGGGUCUAGCGGCGCACGGGUGCGUAACGCGUGGGAAAUCUGCCCUUUGGUUCGGAAUAACAGUUGGAAACGACUGCUAAUACCGGAUGAUGACGAAAGUCCAAAGAUUUAUCGCCAGAGGAUGAGCCCGGGUAGGAUUAGCUAGUUGGUGUGGUAAAGGCGCACCAAGGCGACGAUCCUUAGCUGGUCUGAGAGGAUGAUCAGCCACACUGGGACUGAGACACGGCCCAGACUCCUACGGGAGGCAGCAGUGGGGAAUAUUGGACAAUGGGCGAAAGCCUGAUCCAGCAAUGCCGUGUGAGUGAUGAAGGCCUUAGGGUUGUAGAGCUCUUUUACCCGGGAUGAUAAUGACAGUACCGGGAGAAUAAGCUCCGGCUAACUCCGUGCCAGCCGCCGCGGUAACAC